UACAGAGGGGGCAAGCGUUGUUCGGAAUUACUGGGCGUAAAGGGCGCGUAGGCGGCCUUCUAAGUCGAACGUGAAAUCCCUGGGCUCAACCCAGGAACUGCGUCCGAUACUGGGAGGCUUGAAUCCGGGAGAGGGAUGCGGAAUUCCAGGUGUAGCGGUGAAAUGCGUAGAUAUCUGGAGGAACACCGGUGGCGAAGGCGGCAUCCUGGACCGGCAUUGACGCUGAGGCGCGAAAGCCAGGGGAGCAAAGCAGG
rnacentral:rRNA from 1 species